UACGUAGGUGGCAAGCGUUGUUCGGAAUUAUUGGGCGUAAAGCGCGUGUAGGCGGUCCGGUAAGUCCGCUGUGAAAGUCGGGGGCUCAACCCUCGGAUGCCGGUGGAUACUGUCGGGCUUGAGUACGGAAGAGGCGAGUGGAAUUCCUGGUGUAGCGGUGAAAUGCGCAGAUAUCAGGAGGAACACCAAUUGCGAAGGCAGCUCGCUGGGACGUUACUGACGCUGAGACGCGAAAGCGUGGGGAGCAAACAGG
rnacentral:rRNA from 1 species